GCCCUCAUAGUUCAAUGGAUAGAACAAGAGACUCCUAAGCUCUAGAUCUGUGUUCGACUCACAGUGAGGGCA
rnacentral:tRNA from 6 species